AGCCGCUCCCGGUCCCGAGAUAACCCGAGCCCGGCGUUUGUCCGCGAGGAGCGCGCAUCCGGAGAGGUCGCCACCGGGAGGCCCAGGCGUACGGGAGGCAAAAAAUAAAUCCACGCUCCACAGUCUGUUCCCUCUGCUCACAUGGAUCAGACAGGGUCCAAAGGUGUUUAACAAACCAUGGAUUUGGGUAAAUCGACUGGAGUUAAGUAUUCCAGCCAAGAUGAUUCAAGCGUUGAUGUUUUGGGCGUUCAUUUCCUUCGAUGUGCCAACCUUUUCUAUUAUUUUCAUGGAUUUUAAGUGAGUGACAGAAUGUUUUUCCACCUUCAAUAAAAGACAUUCUGAGAGUAAA